AUUACAAAUAUUACACAUUAAUAUUCUUUCUCAUCUUCCUUCUCAUCUUACUCAUUUUUCUAAAGUUCCUGAAGUUCAUAAGAAAGCAGUUCCUAAAGAGAAAGUACCUGUCCCUGUGCCUAAAAAAAUGGAGGCUCCACAAGCAAGAGAACCUGCAGAAGAACGGGUGCCCACUUUUGAGAUAGAAGUUGAAGAACCUCCAUCAACCAGAGUGACUGAAGUGCACAGGAAAAUUAUCACAGAAGAAAAAGUUGCAGUUGCUAAAAAAGAGGAGGCUCCACCGAAAAGAGUGCCCAAGAAGCCUGUGCCAGAAGAAAAAGUACCUGUUCCAAUUUCACGGAAAGUGGCAGCUCCACCACCUAAAGUCCCAGAAGCACCAAAGAAAAUUGCCAGACAAGAAAGAGUAUCCAUUGCUGUUCCAAAAAGAAAAGUGUCUCCACCACCAGAAGUACCAACAGAAGAAGAACACUGGGCUAUGUCAGAGGAAGUAUCCAUUUCUCUUCACACAGAAAAGGAGAUUUCAUACACAGUGCCUGAUGUACCAGAGAGGGCUGUCAUUGAAGAAAGAGUACAAGUUUAUCCUCCUAAAAAAAUGGCAAGACCACCAGCCAAAGUGCCUGAAGUACGCAAGACAGUUGUCCGAAAAGAAAAAGUAUAUGUUGAAGUUCCUCAGUAUGAAGAGGAAGAAGAGAUUCCAACAUACGAAGAGGAAGAAGCCACCAGAUAUGAGAAGGAAGUAAUCCAUUACAAGGAGGAAGUCCACCAUUAUGAAGAAGUUAGUCACUAUGAGGAGGAAGUUCCUCAGUAUGAGGAAGUUCCUCAAUAUGAAGAGGAAGAAGUCACCCAUUAUGAAGAAGAAGCUGCUUAUUAUGAAGAAGAAAUUCCCGAAUAUGAGGAGGAAGAGUCAGAAGUUCCCCAGUAUGAAGAGGAGGCUCCCCCACCAGUUAGAGGUAUACUUUAAUUUUAGGAUUUGUGUGAGAAAAA
rnacentral:lncRNA from 1 species